rnacentral:tRNA from 1 species
AUUGAAAUGGCAGAUUAGUGCAAUAGAUUUAAAAUCUAUAUAUAUAAAUUUAUUUAUUUUCAAUA